rnacentral:rRNA from 1 species
AUUCCCCUAGUAACUGCGAGUGAAGCGGGAAAAGCUCAAAUUUAAAAUCUGGCGGUCAUGCCGUCCGAGUUGUAAUCUGGAGAAGCGUUUUCCGUGUUGGACCGUGUACAAGUCUCUUGGAACAGAGCGUCAUAGAGGGUGAGAAUCCCGUCUUUGACACGGACUACCAAUGCUUUGUGAUACGCUCUCAAAGAGUCGAGUUGUUUGGGAAUGCAGCUCAAAAUGGGUGGUAAAUGCCAUCUAAAGCUAAAUAUUGGCGAGAGACCGAUAGCGAACAAGUACCGUGAGGGAAAGAUGAAAAGCACUUUGGAAAGAGAGUUAAACAGUACGUGAAAUUGUUGAAAGGGAAACGCUUGAAGUCAGUCGCGUUGUCUGGGACUCAGCCUUGCUUCUGCAUGGUGUAUUUCCUGGUUAACGGGCCAACAUCGAUUUUGGUCGGUGGAUAAAGUCAAGAGGAAUGUGGCACCUUCGGGUGUGUUAUAGCCUCUUGUCGGAUGCAUCGACUGGGAUCGAGGAUCGCAGCACGCCUUUUUGGCCGGGGUUCGCCCACGUAACGUGCUUAGGAUGUUGGCAUAAUGGCUUUAAUCGACCCGUCUUGAAACACGGACCAAGGAGUCUAACAUGCCCGCGAGUGUUAGGGUGGAAAACCCUUGCGCGUAAUGAAAGUGAAAGUUGGGACCUCUGUCAUGGGGGGCACCGACGCCCGGCCUUGAACUUCUGUGACGGCGCCGCGGUAGAGCGUGUAUGUUGGGACCCGAAAGAUGGUGAACUAUGCCUGAAUAGGGCGAAGCCAGAGGAAACUCUGGUGGAGGCUCGUAGCGAUUCUGACGUGCAAAUCGAUCGUCAAAUUUGGGUAUAGGGGCGAAAGACUAAUCGA